rnacentral:piRNA from 1 species
UGGGUUUUUGUAAUAGGUCCCUUCUUGAU